rnacentral:rRNA from 1 species
GAUGAACGCUGGCGGCGUGCCUAAUACAUGCAAGUCGAGCGAACAGACGAGGAGCUUGCUCCUCUGACGUUAGCGGCGGACGGGUGAGUAACACGUGGAUAACCUACCUAUGAGACUGGGAUAACUUCGGGAAACCGGAGCUAAUACCGGAUAAUAUAUUGAACCGCAUAGUUCAAUAGUGAAAGACGGUUUUGCUGUCACUUAUAGAUGGAUCCGCGCCGCAUUAGCUAGUUGGUAAGGUAACGGCUUACCAAGGCAACGAUGCGUAGCCGACCUGAGAGGGUGAUCGGCCACACUGGAACUGAGACACGGUCCAGACUCCUACGGGAGGCAGCAGUAGGGAAUCUUCCGCAAUGGGCGAAAGCUUGACGGAGCAACGCCGCGUGAGUGAUGAAGGUCUUCGGAUCGUAAAACUCUGUUAUUAGGGAAGAACAAAUGUGUAAGUAACUAUGCACGUCUUGACGGUACCUAAUCAGAAAGCCACGGCUAACUACGUG